UACGGAGGGUGCAAGCGUUAUCCGGAUUUACUGGGUUUAAAGGGUGCGUAGGUGGGUAGGUAAGUCAGUGGUGAAAUCUUCGAGCUUAACUCGGAAACUGCCAUUGAUACUAUCUGUCUUGAAUACUUUGGAGGUAAGCGGAAUAUGUCAUGUAGCGGUGAAAUGCUUAGAUAUGACAUAGAACACCAAUUGCGAAGACAGCUUACUACACAGUCAUUGACACUGAGGCACGAAAGCGUGGGGAUCAAACAGG
rnacentral:rRNA from 1 species